CAGUCGCCACGGUAAUACGAAGGUCCCGAGCGUUGUUCGGAAUCACUGGGCGUAAAGGGAGCGUAGGCGGCGUGGUAAGUCAGAUGUGAAAUCCCGGGGCUCAACCCCGGAACUGCAUCCGAUACUGCCGUGCUAGAGGAUUGGAGAGGUAGCUGGAAUUCUUGGUGUAGCAGUGAAAUGCGUGGAGAUCAAGAGGAACACUCGUGGCGAAAGCGAGCUACUGGACAAUAUCUGACGCUGAGGCUCGAAGGCCAGGGUAGCGAAAGGGAUUAGAUACCCCUGUAGUCCCUGUCUCUUAUAC
rnacentral:rRNA from 1 species